GCAAAGGAUAUUUGACAAAAAGUCUUCCCAGUUGCCUUAUUUCUUAGUACUUUUAAAAUAAUUUCUGACUUUCUACACUUUGAACCCUGUGCCAGGAAUGAACAUUCAAAAAGACUCUGUGAUCAUAGGCAACUGUUGCAAGAAGAAACAACAGUGACAGACAGUCACACAGGACUCUCCCCAGUGAGCUAAUGAUUCCUCCGCGAAAGAUACGUCCAUUGCCUGAAGUGUCAACUGGAGGUGUAAAAGAUAACAAGAACUCUAUUACAUGCCUUAUAUUAUAUAUUAUUAUAGUGCUUCUAUAUGCCAGGCCCUCCACGUAUUAACCAGUCCAUAUAAUCUUUACUCUGCCCUG